rnacentral:misc_RNA from 1 species
AAAAUUGUUCGGAACUUUUCGGCAAAUAUCCAUUGGGAAUAUAAAAAUCCAACAAAAUGGCAGAAGUUCAAGAAAGAAACUUUUUUGAAAUAGAAGGACCAAAACCAGAUGUAAAUUAUCCAAUAAAAGUCAGAUAUUGUGGAGGUACAAAUUUUACAAUACAACGAAUUUUACCUAUCAAAUUAACUAUCGAAGGGAUGCAUUUCUUUUAUUUUGUCAUUGUGCAUAGUGCAUACUUGUGUUAUAUUUACAUGUCGCUUGAUUUAUGAUAUACAUGUAUAAAUAUAAAACAGCAUAUAUGUAUAUACUAGUAGAUGUGAUAGUUUGGUAAGCAUGUUAAAUAAGCCUUGAUUUGUGAAUCUUUGUAAUAUAUUUUAAAAUAUACCUUUGUUGUAAAUGAAUUUAAUCAAUGAUUUUUUUUUUCAGAAUGUACUAUGCCUUUGGAGGUAUGUUGAUUAUUCAAGAGAAUUUUUCCUUUUCUCUUUUGUUGAAGAAAAAAAAACCAAAAUAUUUAUUUUAGUAAAUUGUGUUGCGUUUUAAUCCUGGAAUUAUAUGAUAGUCUUUGUGUUUUCUUUUAGUAUUGUGAAUACUACCCAAAUUAUGAAAAGUGCAAGCAGUGGUUAGAGAAAAAUUUACCUGAUGAAUUCAGCAAAUUGAUGUGUGACAAACCAGAGGAUGAAGGAGAUGGGGACACUGAUAAGAAAAGACAGAAAAGAGGAGGGAAAGGACAGAUAAAAACAAAGAAGAAGUCAGAGCCUAAAGGCAUUAGACUGGGAACGGCAAAGAGGGGCAAAAAGAAGCAUAUAACAGUGGUCAUAGGGCUAGGCACAUAUGAUAUUGAUCUGAAGGAAGCCAGCAAAGUGUUCUCCUCCAAAUUCUCCUGUGGAUCGUCAGUGACUGGGGAUGAUGAGAUCGUGAUUCAGGGGGAUGUGUCAGACGAUUUGUUCGAUUUCUUACCAGAAAAGUGGCCUCAGAUUGAUGAGGAUGAUAUAGAUGAUGUUGGAGAGAUGAAGAAAUAGGAAUCCUUAAACAGAUAUAUUGUUAAUGCUCUCUCUGGUAUUUGUAAUUUAUUAAAGAAGGAUAUAAUCCUGCAUGUUGUGAAAGUGCAUAAUCCUGAACAUUUGAUGGGAAGCAAACAAUCCUCAAAAAGUGAAUUGCAGCAGCAAAAUCUUGUGUCAUCCCAUUUGACAUUACCUAAGAAUUUUGUUUGGGGUGGGGGGGGGGUGGAUUUCGUUUAAAGUUUCUGUUUAUGUGUGUUGAUGGGAAAGACAUUCCUUUCAUAUUCCUCUUUUAAAAUUCCAUGUCUAUAUGGGAAAGUAGGUCAGUGUAUCAACCAUUUUUGUAAUGUAUGUAACUAAAUGGCUUGAUUUCUAUUGUACAGGAUACACUCAGAUAUUUAUGGAUACUUUUUUUUAGGUUUUUUGUCAGAGAUCUAUUGUUAUGUUUGUGAUAGAAAUGAAAAUACCAUGAAAUAAAGGAACGCACGGUAACCAGAUACUGGUGUAUAAACUUUUGUUAAAAACUUUUGUUUGAUGUGUCAUCUUACGUUUGGAUGGAUUGAGUAUCGUUGAGGAAUGCUACACUAUAUAGAAAUAAAAAUUGCUAACGUGCACUUAGUACUAUUGUAGUGGUAAAAUUUUAAUUCUUGUCCUGCGAUGUCAUUGGCCGAGAUUUGCGUUCUGACUCUAAACGUGCUAAAUGAUCCAUCGUCUUUCCACUUGUAUUGCAGUCAAUUUUACUAAGGCCGGUGUUUAUUUUAAGCAUUUAACCCUAGCCGAAUUUAU